CAGAUUGUAAUUUCAGUGGCGAACGGGUGAGUAAUGAGUACGAACGUACUCCGAAGCGACCAUAGCCUACCGAAAGGUAGGGUAAUAGUCCAUAGUCUCGCAAGAGUAAAGACGCAAGUCACUUCGGAAGCGGCGUACUUGAUACCAGCUAGUUGGUGGGGUAAUGGCCUACCAAGGCGAUGACGUCUACCGGCUCUUAGCGGAGAGUCCGGCACAAUGGGACUGAGACACGGCCCAUACACCUACGGGUGGCAGCAGUUAGGAAUCUUGCGCAAUGGACGAAAGUCUGACGCAGCGAUACCGCGUGAAGGAUGAAGGCCCUCGGGUCGUAAACUUCUUUUUUGAGAUAUAACUUUCUCUAGAAUAAGCAACUACUAACUACGUGCCAGCAGUCGCGGUAAUACGUAGGUUGCAAGCGUUACCCGGUUUUAUUGGGCGUAAAGAGUCUGUAGGCGGCCUUAUAAGUCCUGUUUCAGAGACCCCGACUUAAUCGGGGAAAGGGGCAGGAUACUGUUAGGCUCGAGUUAUAUUGGGGUUACUGGAAUUUGUAGUGUAGGGGUAAAAUCCGUGGAUACUACAAAGAACACCAAGCGCGAAGGCGGGUAACUAAAUAUUUACUGACGCUCAUAGACGAAAGCUAGGGUAGCCAAUCAGAUUAGAGACCUGAGUAGUCCUAGCUGUAAACACUGUCUGUUAAUUCUCUGGUCUUUGACUAGGGGAUGCAAGCUAACGCGUUAAACAGACCGCCUGGGGAGUAUAGCCGCAAGGCCGAAACUCAAACGAAUUGGCGGGGAGGCGCACAACCAGUGGAGCAUGUGGUUCAAUUCGAUACGAAGCGAUGAACCUUACCUGGGUUUGAAAUGUACCUGCAAGCCUGAGAGAUCAGGAAGCCUUCGAGGGUGGUACACAGCUGUUGCAUGGCUGUCGUCAGCUCGUGACGUGAGUUGUUCUCUUAAGUGAGGUAACGAGCGCAACCCCCAUCCGGUGUUACUGUGUCACCGGAGACUGCCUAGCAUUAUUUUGUUAGGAGGAAGGAGGGGACGACGUCAAGUCAGCAUGAUGCUUAUGUCCAGGGCUACACACAUCCUACAAUGGGAAAUACAGAGGGUCGCAAGACCGCAAGGUGGAGCUAAUCCUUAAAAUUUUCCUCAGUUGGGAUUGCAGGCUGAAACUCGCCUGCAUGAACCCGGAAUUGGUAGUAAUCGCGGAUCAGCAGCCCGCGGUGAAUACGUUCUCGCCUCUUGCACACACUGCCCGUCAAAUCAAAGUUGAGGGCACCUGAAGCCUGACAUUUAUGUCGGACCAAGGUGAAUUCAGCGAUGAGGGUUAAGUCGUAACAAGGUAU
rnacentral:rRNA from 1 species